rnacentral:rRNA from 1 species
ACGCUCGACACCUACGGGAGGCAGCAGUGAGGAAUAUUGGUCAAUGGACGCAAGUCUGAAACAGCCAUGCCGCGUGCAGGAUGACGGCUCUAUGAGUUGUAAACUGCUUUUGUACGAGGGUAAACGCAGAUACGUGUAUCUGUCUGAAAGUAUCGUACGAAUAAGGAUCGGCUAACUCCGUGCUAGCAGCCGCGGUAAUCUGAGCGGCUGGCAAGGC